rnacentral:rRNA from 1 species
UAGGGAAUCUUCGGCAAUGGACGAAAGUCUGACCGAGCAACGCCGCGUGAGUGAAGAAGGUUUUCGGAUCGUAAAACUCUGUUGUUAGAGAAGAACAAGGACGUUAGUAACUGAACGUCCCCUGACGGUAUCUAACCAGAAAGCCACGGCUAACUACGUGCCAGCAGCCGCGGUAAUACGUAGGUGGCAAGCGUUGUCCGGAUUUAUUGGGCGUAAAGCGAGCGCAGGCGGUUUCUUAAGUCUGAUGUGAAAGCCCCCGGCUCAACCGGGGAGGGUCAUUAGAAACUGGGAGACUUGAGUGCAGAAGAGGAGAGUGGAAUUCCAUGUGUAGCGGUGAAAUGCGUAGAUAUAUGGAGGAACACCAGUGGCGAAGGCAGCUCUCUGGUCUGUAACUGGCGCUGAGGCUCGAAAGCGUGGGGAGCAAACAGG